ACUCCUCGGGGGAUGGGGGAGGAAGAGGGAAACAAAAGUGGAAAAACAUUUUAAAAUAUGAAUUUUAUUUUCCAUAGCAGUAUAUCAGAAAACUCAAAUAUAACUCCACAACUUUUUCAAGAGUUUCUUUUUGUUUUCCAAUGGUAACGGGAGAGAAAAUAAGCUGUCAUUAUCGGAAUGAUCAAACACAGAGAGAAAAGAGGCAGAGGUGAGAAGAUGGAGAAGAUGAAUACAUUUGCUUUCAGCAAACCAAU
rnacentral:lncRNA from 1 species